rnacentral:lncRNA from 1 species
GUUUUUUAAAAAAUGUUUAUUUUUUUCAAAGAAAAACGGCAAUAGCCAAUUGGAAACCUACUUAUUCUUCAACUCCAAUUUUGUUUUCUUUAAAUUUAGAAGUGACUUACUGAUUUACUAUUUUAAACAAACCCCCCCUUUUCCCCUUUAAAUGUUUACCAUCUACUCGUGCUGAAUCCUUCCAAGGAGAUUGCUCCAGCGUAUAUCUCCAGGUCCUCGCUUUGCUCCUUUUACCAAAAAAUGCAAAACACAAUUCCAUCGUGCAUCUUAAGGGCUCCAAUCGUCAAAAAUAGGAAAAAAAUUCUUUGGAAUAGCCAAUUAAGUUGAAUGAAAAAAAAAUCCACACGAAUGCGGUUUGGUUGGGGCAGGAAGGAAUCCACUCCUAUGUUCCUGGUAAUCUGAUCCCGCUCCAUGAAUCCUGGUAAUUCAUCCUCCCUAUCCUAUCCACAUUAUGAUUUGAAUCCAAUGAUCCAGCUCCAAGGAUUGGGAUCCAGUGAGCCCUCUCCAAUCCAAACCUUUAUAACCAGCAAAACCAAAAAAGAGGAGGCAAAAUGUUAGACACUGUAACCAAAAAAAGUUUCUGGGGAAUGAUGAGUUAUGUCUGUCAUCAGUUUACAGAUGCACAUCAAUAACUAUCAAAUUCCCCAAAACAAGUUUCUGUAUGGUGUUCAGAUAAAUUUUAGAAACUUAAUAACUAUAGAGACUAACUGGAAGAAGCACUUUAUAUUUACAGUUCAACUGAUAAUGCCAACACUUGUUACUGUACAGGUAUCACAGGUUUUGUGGUUGCAAAGUUAUAUAAUUGAAGUUUACUGGUAUUACUACCCACCUAAACCUAAACUAUUGCUCCCAUCUGCAAUUUAGCUUGUAAAUUAAAGUGUUUUAAACAUGAGUCAAUUAUGAAUAUUAAAAGGGAAGGUGAGACUUAAAGUACUCCCAACUAGAUUAUCUACACUAAUACGUUGGAAUUCUAUUAUUUUGCUGUCAUUUUGUCUUUAAAAAAUGAAAUAACAAUGCUCUAUCAGUCACACAGAGGACAUGCAGAUUUAGCAGUAUUGAUAUUAUACUCUGUUUGGAAAUUGACACCCUGUACCCACAUGUACACCAACAGCAGGCCACACAUUAACAGUUGUAACUAAGCACUGUGACAAAUUAGCCAUUCUUCCCACAUUAGUCCCUAUUAAAACAAAAAGGGGGGAAGGGAGCAAAUAAUUGUUACAAAAUGGGCAAUUCUACCACAAUUGCCAAGGUUUUAAAAAGCAAAGCAAUUGUAGCUGAAGAUAACUGCAUUAAGUGUUUGCAAAUCUUUUAAGGUAGAUAAAUUUUUAACCCUCGCCUUCUAGUAUAAGGUCAAUACUGCCAAUUUCAUCUGUGACAAUAGCACUUGGAGUCAUACCAUUGCCUCCAUUAUUGAUCUGAUCCUCCUCAAUCCUCCUUUUGACAAUCCUAAAAUGAUUGAAAUGUGCUCCACAAUCCUUAAUCCAAAGCAUUCUUAAUCCAUCUCUUCAGAUAUGUCUACAGAAAGACACAUGAAAAGCAAGAUAAACAUAAGAACUUCCCCCAAGUAAGAUAACCACAAACACCCCCAACAUCCCAUUUCACACAAACCAGAGCAGAAUAGACAUUUACAUAAUAUCACAGUCUGAAGAGCAUGGAAAUUAACUAAAUUUAAACAAUCCUGUCUAUGACAUCACUUAAAAUACAAGUUACCAAAGACAUGAGGGGAAUGUAGAUGUUAGGAGCAAGGGGAUAUUACACAAGAAUGCAAUUCAACACUUUAGCCCAUUCUGAACAAAACAGCUUGAAUUAAAAAAAUGAAAAGAUUGUACUGAGUAAAGGAAAACUGUAUACAACAUGGGUUCUACAAAAAGUGUCACCAAUCAUCUUAUGUACGAGAGCGAGAUCUGCUAUGACGGGGAGAAUAGCGUGGUGAUCCUCUGCUUCUCCUUGGGGAGUAACUGCGACUCCUGCUGUUGCUUCUGCUACGGCUUCUGCUACGACUACGGCUUCGAGAUCGAGAUCUUCCAUAACUUGGACUUCUGGGCCCAUCAACUUUAACCCGGAUGUAGGCAGUUUCUCCCUAUUGGAUAGACAGAACUUUCCAUUGAAAGAUCUAAGCUUUCACCUGUCUUCAGACAAGCUGAACGAAUACAAAGACAGAUCAGGGCUCUGGUAAUUUACGUGAACACCCUUGCCUGUAUCCUUACCUUCAAAUUCCACUGUUAAGAAAACUGUAUCCAAUUCUGGCCAAAAAAAAGAAUAAGUGUAUAACCUACCUCGUGAGAUCUAAACUUAGUGUUAUCCAGUUUUCGAACUGCAUACGUCAUAUCUUCUUUCCGUACAAACUCCACGACACCAGUGCCAUCUCGGUAAACAUCAGCGUAACAUACAUCACCUGCCUCACGCAUGUGAUCCUUUAAGUCCUGCCAGCUUCCACUCGGAGGCAGUCCUGAAAAAGCGAUUCCCCCUAAUUUAAUACUACUCAUCCUGUCCCACGGCAAACGUGUAAAGUACAUUCGAACAAGGAUUAUUUUAAAAUACUUAAUGAUUGUACUUAAGUGUUUCCAGGUAAAGAGCUGGUAAGAGUCAGAUCCAGAGUCCAAAUUUAUUUGUAAAGGAUCUUCAUAGGCUAGUACUGCAACCUAAUUUGGGUAAAUCACCACCACAGUAAUCUUUAUUUACUAAAUUCAUCCCAAAGACCGAAGUAGUCCAAGACCCCGUGUGUAAAACAAAACAAAAACAACAAUAACAAAAACCUUGCAGUACUCAAAGCAGUCAUGCGGGAAAAAGAUUUUAACCCGCACGAAGUCAACUCACCAGAGACAACCACUCUGUUCUCGGACCGCCUGGACGGCGGGCCAUAGCGGCCUCUCGGGGCGCCGCCGCCUCCACCCCCGCCGCCGCCUCGGCCGGUCCCGCGGCCGCUUCGGGGAAACUCUACCCGCAGCCGGUAGCCGUCGUAGUCGUAGCCGUCGCGACCGUACACCGCAUCUUCCGCGUCUCUGCGUGUGAUCACAGAAAGCGAAAGGGGGGGGUGAUGAGGGGAGGGAGCCGCCGGACCCAGCUCGUUCGCCCGCUCCGGGGGUGAAAAGCCGCGGCCACAGCGCACAUGCGCACCCACGGGGCCACACGGAGCCCCACAUGCGCCGCAUAAUAGGGCCGGCCCUUCCCCCACCCAGCACCACGCCGGGCAGAGGCUCCCGACCACCUCGCCGGCCCUCAGCGCCUCGGUUUCCCGCUCCGGGGGCUGCGCAUGGGCUCGGGGGGUAGGGGGGACGUCCGAGGCGGCCGGCCACCGGAGACAACGCGCCGCCUCUCGGCUCUCCUGACUCGACUCCUGCAGGGGCGAUAGCGCCUCGGAGCCCCUCCUCUCCCCCCAUUAUGUUCCAAGGCCUCCGAGCCUUCCCCAACUCCUCCACGCUAUCUCCUCAAGGCCGCGCACGCCCCACGCUGCCUCACCGCGGGUCCUCGAACUCAACGAAGGCGAAGGGCGGUCCCCCGCGGCGGUUCUUCAGGUCGAUGUCGCGGAUGGCGCCGUAUUUGUAAAACACGUCCUCGAUGUCCUUGGUUCGGAUAUCCGGAGCCUUCAGUGUUGAAGCGUACUGGACUCCUCUUUCUGCUGUCUCGCAGGCUGUGCAGCGGUCAAAAGGAAUUGCAUACAGACUCUUCAUUUUCUCUUUUGUCACUAUGUACUGCGCCCGUGCUUCCUGCUGCACAGGUAUUUGUCACAGUGAGAGGAUGUCUAACAAACCCACCUACCUACAUCGUCUCUUUCCAUCCUUACCACGAUCUCUUCGAGGCCAGCCUGCUCAACAAAGCCAGGUCCAGGACAGCCAGAGCUAUACAGAAAAACAGUGCCUGCCUUUGAGUCAUCUGCUCCAGUAAAGAACGCUGCUCCUGU